GAUGAACGCUGGCGGCGUGCCUAAUACAUGCAAGUCGAGCGAACAGACGAGGAGCUUGCUCCUCUGACGUUAGCGGCGGACGGGUGAGUAACACGUGGAUAACCUACCUAUAAGACUGGGAUAACUUCGGGAAACCGGAGCUAAUACCGGAUAAUAUAUUGAACCGCAUGGUUCAAUAGUGAAAGACGGUUUUGCUGUCACUUAUAGAUGGAUCCGCGCCGCAUUAGCUAGUUGGUAAGGUAACGGCUUACCAAGGCAACGAUGCGUAGCCGACCUGAGAGGGUGAUCGGCCACACUGGAACUGAGACACGGUCCAGACUCCCAAGGGAGGCAGCGGUAGGGAAUCUGCAGCAAUGGGAGAAAGACGGAGGGAGCAACGCCGCGUGAGUGAUGAAGGGCUUAGGAUCGUAAAACGCUGUUAUUAGGGAAGAACAAAUGUGUAAGUAACUAUGCACGUAUUGACGGUACCAAAUCAGAAAGCCACGGCUAACUACGUG
rnacentral:rRNA from 1 species